GGCACUAAACAAAACAAAAGCAUGCUUCGUUGUGUUCAACAACAUCGAUCGCACGAAGAAAUCUAAAGUUUACCCGAUUAAACUUACGAAACUCUAAUAUAAUGAGUGAAUCUUACAGGACCAAACAUAACAAUGCAAAACCAACAACACUCCUUGUUUGGACUAAACCCCAUGACAAACCACUGAUCAAACCAUCCACUGUGACAAAACAUUCACAAUGCCUCACUACUUAUAGACCAAAGUUAACUUUCUGCGAUAAGAUAUGACAUACUUUUUGAAUGCUGAUGAUGAUGAUGAUGUUCUAUAUUUGACAACUAAACUCUGAGACUAUACAUAUACUAUGAAGUAAACAUCCUGAGUCAGGUGAAGAAGCGGAUUGCAAUGGCACUCAAAAUAAGAACAACUAAACUACCCACAUAAUUCUUAACUUACAAAAAAUAUAUUGACACUAAAUGAGGUCCUAGCCUACUUCACCUGGUCUAACACUUAAUCAACAACAGUAACUUGCUCUACAUUAAUUGUUUUCUAAAUUUAUUGUUAUCUCUGACCGCUACGCUUUCAUCACUAUUUUUUUCAAAUGAUAUUAUUGUUAUAUUUUCUUUUCUUUAUUAACUGUAACUCAUACUUGUAUUUGUUUAGGGAAAUGUCUGAUAACAUCUGCUACUAAUUGGCUCCCUGGAAUCUGAUAAUUAGACAUUUGGACUUUUCUGGUUACUCUAAGUUAGGAUGUUAGCAUAGAUGGUGUUACAGUUCUAUCCCAACUCCUAUGAUCAAUGUUGUAUAAUAUAUCUACUCUUUCAAACAUUCAAGUAUAAUAAUUUAAGAGGCUAGUUUUUAAGCACCUAGUCGAUGACAAGCAAAGAUCCAAUCCAGAAGUACAAUCAACCACAUCAACAAACCAAAGAACCCGCACAACAAAACUCAUACAACCAAUACCAAACUGAACCAACCCAACCAAAAGGAUGAUUAAUAAUUAUAGACUAGUUGCUAUAACUACCGAUCCCCCCCCAACCAGGCCAGUCCAAUCCAGCACCAAUCAUACAAGCCCCGCCACGCAAACUCCUCGAUCCACCAAUGCAGCCGACCGCACCUCCAGACCAAAAUCCCCACCCCUCAUCUACCUGGGCCAGAAUUUCUAUAUCUAUUCUAAUCAUUUCAGGUUGUUCAUAAGGACUAAAAUUCGCCGCGUUUUCGUUACAUU